UCUUGGUCUCUUGCUCCUCUCUAAGCUUUUCUCCCUUUUUCCAAAAGUUUUCACGUACAAUCAGUUUUUCUAAAACUAGGUCUAGCCUUUUUAUAUCCUCUCUCAAUUACUUAUCUUAUUUCACUUUCUCCCCCAAAACUAUCUAAAAUAUCAAAACAGCCCUCAACUAAAUAUUUUAUAUUAUUUUCAAAUCUUUAUU
rnacentral:lncRNA from 1 species